UUUCACCUUCUUCCUCCACCAUCCACUCCGUUUCAUCGCCGUCCACCAUCCAUCCACUCCGUUUCAUCACCUUCUUCCUCCACCAUCCACUCCGUUUCAUCGCCGUCCACUCUUCCACCAUUCAGAGGAACCCUAAAUUGAUUUGUCUCACACGAACAGGGCCAGCUUCUAUCGCACAGACGACGAUUCACCCACCGCUUUUGGUCUUCAAAUUCCAAGCGCUAUAGCAGCAAUACAUGACAGAUCUGCCACAGCAUUUUGUGUAGCGCCGGACCUCUUCUACGCUACACAUCGUUGUGAUUGCUGCUGUUACCACUGAUAUUGACUAAUGAGAGAUAGACCUGACCUUGUAACCCAUCUCAAAGGUUAUGGGUGUCAAGCUGGCUUACAGACUGGGUUCUUUUCAAGUUUGGACUUUUUUUUCCCCAGUUCAACCCUUUGGAUGCAAUGCUCAUCCUUUGUUGCUUUUCAUUUGUAGCUUAACCUUGGCAUUUUAUUAGAGUAAAUUGUUGGCUAUGAAGAGUAAAUAUUAUUUUCAAUAGUAUAACGUUGUGCUGAAACAUGGUUUGUCAAUUGCCUUGAUGCUUUUAUCACUUAACUAGAGAAAGAAUUUGACCUAUUUUACAACAACUAAGUUGGCAGAGACAUAUAAUGCAAAAAUUCUAGUAUUUCCAUGAUUAGUUUAAAACUGCAGCAUGUUACUUUAAUUUCUUCUCCACAGGCUUAUCUGAAGGAAGGUACUGCUAUAAUUCAACUUGUUAUGUUUGAUGAUCAAAUUGGCUGCCUCAUUUAUCUACUGUUCACCAGUUUUGAAACAUUUGUUUGGAUCAGGAUUCAAUAGAGGAACCCUAAAUUGAUUUGUCUCACACGAACAGGGCCAACUUCUAUCGCACAGAUGACGAUUCACCCACCGCUUUUGGUCUUCAAAUUCCAAGGCCAAAUACAAAUGGCUUGAAAAGGAUGAAGCUAGCAUUAAAAAAAGCUUUAAUAGUAGGGGAACAUUGGCCCUGAAAAAUGCUUUGUUCAAGGUUCGUAGCGGUAAAGAUAAAGGUGAAUGGAUUGAUGAAGACAAGUUAAAAGAAUUGACGGAUCAAUGGAAAGGUGAAAAGUGGCAAAAUAUUUCUAAGAUUAAUACACAAAACAGAAAGUCUCAAGCUGGACAUAAUGUGCACAGUGGAGGAUUCAUUUUUGCUAGAGAACAUGCCAAAAAAAUGAGGAUGGAAUUGAAUAGAGAGCCAACCUGUUUUGAGGUUUAAAAGAGAAUGCAUAAACCAAAGGAAAAAUCAAAUGAGUGGUUUAACAAAGAACAAGCUCUGAUAGCUGAAAGUUACCAAACUAAAUUGUUUGAGAGAAAUUCUCAAAUAGGUGAGGGUAGUAACCAACAAUCUGAUGAUAGUAUAUACAUGGAAGUUGUUGGAGGCAUUAACAAGAAGGGACACAUAUUUGGAUUGGGAUCUCAAGCUGCCACUAUCAAAGAAUCUUUGAAAUUUUCUACUUCAAUUUCUACUGAUGUGGUACAGUCAGAUAAAGUUGCUGCUAUGGAGGCUAAGAUUGAAGCAUUAACCGUUGAACUUGAGCAAAAGAAUCUUGAACAAGAAACGUUAAAACAAAAGAUGGAGCAUUGGGAGCAGAUUUUUGGAAGGUUUGUGCCUAGUAUUAAUCAAAACUCUCCGGGUCAACUUGGAAGAGGUGAUAAUGAAAAUUAUGAGAUGGAUACUAAUGAAAAUUAUGUGAUGGAUGAUGAAGAUGAUGUGUUGGAUGAUGAGGCUUAGCUUUAGUUACUUUCUUUUAUGUAUUUUUGUUAAAUCAAUUAUAUGAAUUUUUGUGUCUUUGACAAUUUUAGGUUUGAUAUUAUAUUUAGUGCAGUAGUGGUGCACUUGAUACUUUGUAAGAAUGACAUACAUUUGGUGUCAAUCGA